UACAGAGGUCCCAAGCGUUGUUCGGAUUUAUUGGGCGUAAAGAGCGUGUAGGCGGCCAUACAGGUCAGCUGUGAAAACUCGAGGCUCAACCUCGAGACGUCGGUUGAAACCGUAUGGCUAGAGUCCGGAAGAGGAGAGUGGAAUUCCCGGUGUAGCGGUGAAAUGCGCAGAUAUCGGGAGGAACACCAAUGGCGAAGGCAGCUCACUGGGACGGUACUGACGCUGAGACGCGAAAGCGUGGGGAGCAAACAGG
rnacentral:rRNA from 1 species